GUAACCUGCCUUAUAGUGGGGGAGUAGCCUUUCGAAAGGAAGAUUAAUACCGCAUAAGAUUGUAGUAUCGCAUGAUAUAGCAAUUAAAAGGAGCAAUUCGCUAUAAGAUGGACCCGCGUCGCAUUAGCUAGUUGGUGAGGUAAUGGCUCACCAAGGCGACGAUGCGUAGCCGACCUGAGAGGGUGAUCGGCCACAUUGGGACUGAGACACGGCCCAGACUCCUACGGGAGGCAGCAUG
rnacentral:rRNA from 1 species